rnacentral:rRNA from 1 species
AAGGCGUAGCAAGGGUCCAGCGGCGGGGGGAAUGGGUAGGGCCCGGGGGUUGUCGGUGUGUAGUGGGCGUAAGGCGAGCGCAGGCGGUUGGAUAAGACUGAAGUUAAAGGCUAUGGCUUAACCAGAUUACGCUUUGGAAACUGGUAAACAUGAGGGCAGAAGGGGAGAGUGGAAUUCCAUGUGUAGCGGUGAAAUGCGUAGAUAUAUGGAGGAACACCGGUGGCGAAAGCGGCUCUCUGGUCUGUAACUGACGCUGAGGCUCGAAAGCGUGGGGAGCGAACAGGAUUAGAUACCCAGUAGC